AAUCGAACCAGGAGAUAGCUCGUUCUCUCCGAAAUGCAUCUAGGUGCAGCCUUGAGUGUUCAAUUAUGGGGGUAGAGCACUGAAUGAUCUAGGGGGCAUAUUGCUUACUGAAAUCAAUCAAACUCCGAAUACCAUAAUUUAUAGCUCAGGAGUGAGACUAUGGGAGUUAACUUCCAUUGUCAAAAGGGAAACAGCCCAGACCACCAGCUAAGGUCCCUAAUUAUAACUAAGUGGGAAAGGAGGUGGAGAUUCACAAACAACUAGGAGGUUGGCUUAGAAGCAGCCAUACCUUUAAAGAGUGCGUAAUAGCUCACUAGUCGAGAGUCUCUGCGCCGACAAUGUAACGGGGCUAAGUUAUAAACCGAAGCUGUGGAAUCCGUAAGGAUUGGUAGGAGAGCGUUCUGUAGGCCGUUGAAGAAGAAGGGUAACCGACUUUGGAGGUAUCAGAAGUGAGAAUGCAGGAAUAAGUAGCGAGAAAGGGGGCGAGAAUCCCCCUCGCCGGAAGACCAAGGUUUUCAGGGUAAAGCUUGUCUUCCCUGAGUAAGCCGGGACCUAAGCCCAGGCUAUAAUGCGUAGGCGAAUGGAAAACAGAUUAAUAUUUCUGUGCCAGUCAUUUAUUGUGAUGGAGGGACGCAGAAGGGUAUGCACGCGGACGAUCGGUUGUGUCCGUAGAAGUAUGUAAGAUGACUUAGUAGGUAAAUCCAUUAAGUUAUAUCUGAGGUAUGAUAUACAGUCGUAAGAUGAAUGUGCAAAUCCCACGCUGCCAAGAAAAGCUUCUAACGUUAAUAUAUGACUGCCCGUACUGUAAACCGACACAGGUGGUCAGGAUGAGAAAUCUAAGGCGGACAGGCUAACUCUCGUUAAGGAACUCUGCAAAAUAACCUCGUAACUUCGGGAGAAGAGGAGCCCUUGUGUGUGAGUAUACAUGCGAUACAAAGCGCACGAGGGUCGCAGUGAAGAGGCUCAAGCAACUGUUUAACAAAAACACAGGUCUAUGCUAAGCUGGAAGGCGAUGUAUAUGGGCUGACACCUGCCCAGUGCUGGAAGGUUAAGAGGAGGAGUGAGAGCUCCGAAUUGAAGCCCCAGUGAACGGCGGCCGUAACUAUAACGGUCCUAAGGUAGCGAAAUUCCUUGUCGGGUAAGUUCCGACCUGCACGAAUGGUGUAAUGAUUUGAGCGCUGUCUUGACGGGAGGCCUGGUGAAAUUGUAUUACCGGUGAAGAUACCGGUUACCUACAGUAGGACGGAAAGACCCCAUGGAGCUUUACUGUAGCUUGGUAUUGGGUUUUGGCAUUGCAUGUAUAGGAUAGUUGGGAGACUGUGAUGAUAUGGCGCUAGCUGUAUCGGAGUCAUCGGUGGAAUACCAACCAUUCAAUGCUGAAAUUCUAAUCUGUGGUUUGUCACCACGGAGACAGUGCUAGGUGGGCAGUUUGACUGGGGCGGUCGCCUCCGAAAGAGUAACGGAGGCGUUCAAAGGUUCUCUCAGGUUGGAUGGAAAUCAACCAUAGAGUGCAAUGGCAUAAGGGAGCUUGACUGCAAGACUGACGGGUCGAGCAGAUGCGAAAGCAGGACAUAGUGAUCCGGCGAUUCCGAAUGGAAGGGUCGUCGCUCAACGGAUAAAAGCUACCCUGGGGAUAACAGGCUGAUCCUACCCGAGAGUCCAUAUCGACGGUAGGGUUUGGCACCUCGAUGUCGGCUCAUCGCAUCCUGGGGCUGGAGAAGGUCCCAAGGGUUGGGCUGUUCGCCCAUUAAAGCGGUACGUGAGCUGGGUUCAGAACGUCGUGAGACAGUUCGGUCCCUAUCCACUGUAGGCGUUAGAAUAUUGAGAAGACCUGUCCUUAGUACGAGAGGACCGGGAUGGACAAACCUCUGAUGUACCAGUUGUCACGCCAGUGGCACAGCUGGGUAGUCACGUUUGGAAUAGAUAACCGCUGAAAGCAUCUAAGCGGGAAACUAACUUCAAGAUAAGUAUUCUUUAAGAUACCUUCGAGCCUAGGAGGUUGAUAGGUUGGGGGUGUAAGUGCAGCAAUGCAUUUAGCUGACCAAUACUAAUUAUCGAAGUUUUAAUC
rnacentral:rRNA from 1 species